GACGAACGCUGGCGGCGUGCCUAAUACAUGCAAGUCGAGCGGACGGGUGGGAGCUUGCUCCCAGACCGUCAGCGGCGGACGGGUGAGUAACACGUGGGCAACCUGCCUGUAAGACUGGGAUAACUCCGGGAAACCGGGGCUAAUACCGGAUAACUCUUUCCCUCACAUGAGGGAAAGCUGAAAGAUGGCAUCUCGCUAUCACUUACAGAUGGGCCCGCGGCGCAUUAGCUAGUUGGUGAGGUAACGGCUCACCAAGGCGACGAUGCGUAGCCGACCUGAGAGGGUGAUCGGCCACACUGGGACUGAGACACGGCCCAGACUCCUACGGGAGGCAGCAGUAGGGAAUCUUCCGCAAUGGACGAAGGUCUGACGGAGCAACGCCGCGUGAGUGAUGAAGGUUUUCGGAUCGUAAAACUCUGUUGUCAGGGAAGAACAAGUACCGGAGUAACUGCCGGUACCUUGACGGUACCUGACCAGAAAGCCACGGCUAACUACGUG
rnacentral:rRNA from 1 species